GCCUCUGUUGCUGGCAGGAGGAAGAACAGCUUUGAUCCCGAUGAGAAAUGAGCACAGUGUUGAGCAUUGUGUGACUCUGAGCUGGAGCUGGAUAUUACUCUUGGCUCAGAUGAAGUGGAGCUGCUUCCUGGCAGAUACAGUAACACCCUGUGGUCCUCGUACCCCUGGCUGGGAACCUCUGACCGAAAGUUAAACAUGCUUCCUGCUCCUCCCUAAAAGGCCUCCCUGUCUCUGGACUUUCCAACACCAGACGGAGCAACCGGGCGGCUCAACACCUCCCCUCCCUCCCGCUCACUGAGUGCCUCGGAGAAAUAACGUUCAAAGGAAGACAAAGGUUUCAGCGUUUUACUUAAGAAUAGACAAAAAUUUAGUUUUUGGGAUUUAUGACGAAACUUGGUCAUAAUUCUCCUUUACACAAAGCAAACAUUCAUCUACCAGCUUCUCCUUGUCUCUCACGUAAAAGGAAAACUUUUACAUUUUAAAGGAAUAUAAAGACGUCAGACAGACCUUGAUAAGAAGAA